GAUGAACGCUAGCUAUAGGCUUAACACAUGCAAGUCGAGGGGAAACGAUAGAGAAAGCUUGCUUUUUCUAGGCGUCGACCGGCGCACGAGUGAGUAACGCGUAUCCAACCUGCCCACCACUUGGGGAUAACCUUGCGAAAGUAAGACUAAUACCCAAUGAUAUCUCUAGAAGACAUCUGAAAGAGAUUAAAGAUUUAUCGGUGAUGGAUGGGGAUGCGUCUGAUUAGCUUGUUGGCGGGGUAACGGCCCACCAAGGCGACGAUCAGUAGGGGUUCUGAGAGGAAGGUCCCCCACAUUGGAACUGAGACACGGUCCAAACUCCUACGGGAGGCAGCAGUGAGGAAUAUUGGUCAAUGGGCGAGAGCCUGAACCAGCCAAGUAGCGUGCAGGAUGACGGCCCUAUGGGUUGUAAACUGCUUUUAUAAGGGAAUAAAGUGAGUCUCGUGAGACUUUUUGCAUGUACCUUAUGAAUAAGGACCGGCUAAUUCCGUGCCAGCCGCCGCAGUAA
rnacentral:rRNA from 1 species